rnacentral:lncRNA from 1 species
UUAAUGGCCUUUGCAUAUUCUUCCUCCAUCAUGGCAUAACCAAUUAACAUAAGCAGUUUUAAAAUAUGGCAGUACUACAGCAACAGACUGAUAGUUCAAUGCACUCUGCAGUCAGUAAAAAAUUCUAUUGCAUUAAAGUGUUUUUCCAUAAUCUUUACCACUUUAUAUCUUGAAAGUUAAUAGCUGAAUAAAACUUUAUAUGUCUAAUCCAAUGAGAAGAUGCAAUCUAGUGACGCAAGUCUGUUUUAAUUUUACUGGAGAGGGGAAAGAGAAAGCUCACUCAGGCUGCUGAUGUUUUGCAAAGGGGUAAUGAAUCCAAUGUGCUGUGCAAACAGAAGACAAUGCAGCUACCUCUCGUCCUAUGUGCACUACUCACUUCUACAGUGUUUCUAUGCAACGAGGAAAAUGCUCUUAGGAAGGGGGAAGGAGGGGAUUCUGUGUAUCAUCACUAUUUGGAGGAAAAUAUGUAUCUAGAAAAAUUAAUUGAAGCAGCAGAUUGGAGACUUUUCCCACAUGUACAGAUCAAACAUUCCCUGAAGUGUGGUAGAAGGCAGGAAGAAUGACACUUGCUAAUUUGAAUUUCAGAACACACCUAAACCGCAUUCUGAUCUCCAGGCUUCUUUGAGGGUACAGACGAUGAAGAGCAGGAGCCUAGAGAAAGACUACUUCCGUACAGAAGCUUACAUCAGCAUCAUUUGCAGAAGCAUCCCUACGUUACCUGAACUCCUAAACUGUCUGCCACAGGACUAUCUGCCAUAGACACCACAGGAACUGGAUUAGAUACUUAUAUGUUUUUCUUUAAUGAUUUUAAAAAAAGUAUUACUGAGUGAGUGCCUUUUAAAUUUUGGAGAGACUUGGUGUUUUCUUGCACGGAUGGCAGAUUUGUAUGCUUGACAUCUUGGUGCCUCCUCAUCUUGCAAACUUUCAGAUACUAAUUCAAAACACAGAAGCACAAAAAUUUGUCAAAGAAUUACUAGAAUGAGAAUUCUGACCUGAGAAAAAGAACUUGUUUUUCUCUUACCCUUAUUCAGGGAAAUUGAUAUGUAUUUGUGACUGGCUUCUUCCCUUUUCCCUCCCUAGAGAAGAAAUUAAAUGCCAACUAUAUGACAUUGUUUAGAUAUAUGAGGUAUUUGGGGGAUAACAAAGAAUAUGGAAGAGGAAAGAUAAAAGCAAUUUGGAUAAGACUUAUGGGAAGUUGAAAAAGCAGGGUAAAGUUUGUCUCCAAUAAUGCUGAAUCUGUUUGUAAAUAGAUGUGUCUUUCUAAACAAUUUACUCUAAAGUCUCACUUUGUGUACUCAUUGGAAGCAAAUAUGAUCUUUGAAUUAAUUCCAUUUUAGGAUAAAGAAAAUAAACCCAGUAAAGUUGUUUGUCUCCA